rnacentral:rRNA from 1 species
UACGUAGGGGGCUAGCGUUGUUCGGAUUUACUGGGCGUAAAGGGCGCGUAGGCGGCCACCGCAAGUCGGUUGUGAAAUCUCCGGGCUUAACCCGGAAAGGUCAAUCGAUACUGCGGGGCUAGAGUGCAGAAGGGGCAACUGGAAUUCUCGGUGUAGCGGUGAAAUGCGUAGAUAUCGAGAGGAACACCUGCGGCGAAGGCGGGUUGCUGGGCUGACACUGACGCUGAAGCGCGAAAGCUAGGGGAGCGAACGGG